rnacentral:rRNA from 1 species
AUUGAACGCUGGCGGCAUGCCUUACACAUGCAAGUCGAACGGCAGCACGGGGGCAACCCUGGUGGCGAGUGGCGAACGGGUGAGUAAUGCAUCGGAACGUGCCCAGUAGUGGGGGAUAACUAGUCGAAAGAUUAGCUAAUACCGCAUACGACCUAUGGGUGAAAGCGGGGGACCUUUACCGGCCUCGCGCUAUCGGAGCGGCCGAUGUCUGAUUAGCUAGUUGGCGGGGAAAANCCCACCAAGGCGACGAUCAGUAGCUGGUCUGAGAGGACGACCAGCCACACUGGGACUGAGACACGGCCCAGACUCCUACGGGAGGCAGCAGUGGGGAAUUUUGGACAAUGGGCGCAAGCCUGAUCCAGCCAU